AAAUAUCGGUAAUGUGUAAGAUAUAUAAUUGAAAUUCAUAUAAUAAAAUAAGUAAAUGAAACUCUCGAUAAUAGUAAGAUCUUGUGUCAAAAAUAUGUUGAAUCGGAUCAAUACAUCCUUCAAUAUAAAGUUAUGCCAACACCUGAAGUAAUAUCCCGGGCUUUGAACCUUGCAAGUUGCGAGAGUGUAAAAUGUUCGGUUACUUUCUUACUUGUUAAGUAAUUUACUACCAACCGCACCUUUUAUUUUUAAACUUAUUUAUGGACUUCGAAAAGAUGUACGUUUAUACUUGUACAUAUAAUUUCAUGCUGAUGAUUUCAAUCUUAUCUGCGCCUUUGACCAGCAUACCCUGUGAGAAAAAAGAUAGAGAGUAUCAGAUACAAAUAAAUAAACGAAAUUUAUCUGUUAUCCAUACCCUUCAUCGCUUCGUUGCCUUGAUGUGGGCUACAAAGCAGCAUAUGUAGUUUAAGUUGCUGCAGCAGCACAUUUCCCUCAGUGAAAAUUAUGUUACUCCUAUUGCGUACAUCCGACUAUCUAUGAUACAAAUAUAAAAUUAAAAUCAAUAUUUAUAAGGUAAUAUAAGAAAAAUAAUAACUACAUUAACUAAAAACUAUUUAUUGCAUUAAUACUUUUGGAGUUGUACUUGGACGCUAUAAGUGGUCGUGAAGGUCUUAUCAAUACUGCUGUAAAAAGUUCUGAAACUGUUAUAUUCAACGUUAUGAUCAACUACGACGUUAUAGUGCGUAAUUCGUAAUUCGUAAUGGGCAACGAUCAUCUGUUAAAACAAGAAAACACUGUCGGCCGAGGCUUUCGAAUGGUUAUCAGCGAGAUUGAAUUGUUACCAAAAAUGCUAGAUUCAUCAAUCAAAUAGUGAAGUGAUCAUGAAUACAAGUAUGUAAAUUAUUACAUUUUUAUUGAUAUUGUACGUAUAUCGUUUUUGUCAUAUGUUGCCAUUAUAAUAUUGCUUGUAUUGCGUAAUAUAAAUGACUAUAGUACAUAUUCUAAUAUAAUAAUAAUAAGUUGUUCUUACAAAUUUAAAUUUGUUAUUAUCCAUUAUUCUUAAUAAAUAAUGUUUCGAACGAAAAAUACAAUAGAUAGUUUUUGCUUUGUGUAGUUAUUCUUGUCCUUGUAUUAUAUUCAUUAUAUUAAUGUGAUACUUUUAUUACAUCGCCUCAAAGUUUUUCGUCUCUGUGUUGCAUGUUGCGUGACGUCACUUUUCAGUAAUAACAUGUGCGCGCACUGCUCUUUAAAUAUGUACAUACAUAUGUGCGUAUGACAUUGCCCAACAAAUAAUGUACACAUAAACAUACAUACACAUGAAAAUAUGUAACCCUAAUAAAUUACGAAGGUGCGUAUGACAUUGCCGAAUAAAUAAUACAUACAUUAACCUACAUACACAUAUGCGUACACAUGUAAAUAUGUAAGCUGAAAAAACUACAAACAUUAUUCUUCAAAAACAACAAUCGUCUCAAGUAGCUUAAGCAGCACACAGAGAUGUCAAUAUGGCAGCCAAAUUGCUGAAGCCCGGAUAUAUAGUAAAUCACACAAAAACAACAUUUCAUUCAUGAACGCAGGCGUACUCUUAACAAGCGAAGUUGAUUCAUUCAUAAAAGUAAACGCAACACAUCAACAGGCGUUUGCCUACAAGCGUCUUUUCGCGACGAUGGCAAAAGCUACAAAUCAUAAAUUCAACAAAUUUCUGAUGAUCUUUCUGGAAGGGAAAAGUGUCAACCCCGCAAACCCGCAAACACAGUGACAAAAAUGGCAACAUAGUUCUGUCGACUUAAAACUUUAAAAUAUUUUUUUACAAUUCUAAAUAUUUAUUUUUCAAUGACUGCGUCGAUAUAUAUGCAUGCUCAUACAUACGUACUAAAUACUAACAUAUUUACGAUGGUUUAUUGGCAAAGCUGUUAGAGUGGCAAGGGAAGCCGGGACAAUCGGCGAUGCUUCGUUUGUGUUUUUCGACAGAACUCGGUUUUUCUACCAACAACACAAUGUUGUGACGCUUUGUCGUCGCUGUUCGACACCUUGAUUCUUUGACAUGAAAGCAAAAAACGUGAGCUUUGGCCAAUGGUUGUCCAUGUCAAGGGAGAUUUCGCAUGAAGCAAUUAGUGUGCAUAUUUACAUACAUAUGAUAUACAAACAUAUGCGAAAAAAAAUAUUAUUUACAGAUUAACUAUAAAUUAUAUAUAUAGUUACCAUUGGUGACAUUUAUAAGCUGUGAAACUCAUGAUGGAGAUGGAAUUGAUAAUAGAAUGAUUUAAAAUAAUUGAAAAAUGGAUCAAAAUGACUCAACAAUUAUAAAACAUUGUUUUCAGUUUUUAAAUUGUAACUUUUUAAUAUAUAUAUAUAUAUCAUCUAAAUAAUUGUUAAGUAUCAUGUAUGUCGUACUCUAAGACACAGAGUUCAAUAAAAAUAUUAGUUGGAGGCCAAGUUUACUUUUAUCAUUUCUAACUAUAAUUCCUGUUUUCCAAGUAUAAAAUUAAUAUUGAUGAAGCGAUUUAAAUGUCUAUAAUAUGAAAAAAUAAAGUUUAGCACUUUCCGAGGUUUCACAAAACC